CUUAAGUUAAGGAUUAGAGCUCCCAGGACUGAGUAUCGCCCAGUGCCUGGGUUGUCUAGAGCUAAUUCCCCUUCCAGCUCCAGGAGGGAGCGAUUCCAGGACCCCAAUCAAGCCAUGGCGAAGGAGGGAAAGAGUGCUGGGGUUCGUCCCUUGUUCCAGCUAGGAAGCGGUCCUUGGCGGAGAUACCCAGGGUAGAGGGAGCUCCGUUACAGCCUCACUGACUGCGUGGAGGACGAUGGGAGUAUGCCUCACUGACUGCGUGGGGGACGAUGGGAGUACACCUCACCGACUGGUUGGGGGAUGCUGGGAGUACGCCUCACCGACUGCGUGGAGGACGAUGGGAGUACGCCUCACUGACUGCGUGGGGGACGAUGGGAGUACGCCUCUCCGACUGCUUGGCAGACGCUGGGAGCACACCUCACUAACUGCUUGGAGGACAAUGGGAGUAUACCUCAUUGACUGCGUGAAGGACGAUGGGAGUAUGCCU